rnacentral:rRNA from 1 species
UACGAAGGGUGCAAGCGUUACUCGGAAUUACUGGGCGUAAAGGGUGCGUAGGCGGUUUGUUAAGUCUGCUGUGAAAUCCCCGGGCUCAACCUGGGAAUGGCAGUGGAUACUGGCAAGCUAGAGUGCGGUAGAGGGUAGUGGAAUUCCCGGUGUAGCAGUGAAAUGCGUAGAGAUCGGGAGGAACACCAGUGGCGAAGGCGGCUACCUGGACCAGCACUGACACUGAAGCACGAAAGCGUGGGGAGCAAACAGG